rnacentral:rRNA from 1 species
UGAGCAACCUGCCCUUGACCCUGGAAUAACAGCUGGAAACAGCUGCUAAUACCGGAUACGAUCUCCGAUGGCAUCAUCUGGAGGUGGAAAGCUCCGACGGUCAAGGAUGGGCUCGCGGCCUAUCAGCUUGUUGGUGAGGUAACGGCUCACCAAGGCUUCGACGGGUAGCCGGCCUGAGAGGAUGGCCAGCCACAUUGGGACUGAGACACGGCCCAGACUCCG